AUUUACUAAUCUGCCAAAUCCCUCCAAACAUACAGCACACACAUACAGCACCUACACACAUACAGCUCACACACACACAGUACAAUAACCACACCCUCACAAACACACACAGCACCUUUAAAAAAAAUGCAACACCCUCACACACAGCACACUAACAGCACCCUCACAAACACACACACACACACACACACAAACAGCACCCUCACAAAUACACGACACUCACACAAACAGCACCCUCACAGGACAAACAGCACAGUCACAAACACACACAUACACACAAACACCCUCACAUCACACUAACAGCACCCUCACACACACAUCACACUAACAGCACACUAACAGCACACACAGCAGUGUGUGUGUGUGGA